rnacentral:misc_RNA from 1 species
GACAUUGAAGAUCGCCUAAAACUUCCUCUGCCUUCCAUUUCUCUCCCCUCCACCCUCUCAAUUUUUCACCCUUUUUCUUAAAACAAGUUUUGCCCUCGUUCAUUUAUUCAUUAUAGUUCGAGGAUUUGACCACAAAAUGUCCGGAUUCCGAAGACAGUUCCCAAUUCGAGAUAUAUAUGAGAAAGAAGAUAAGAAAAUGAAACAACUUAAAGAAGGAAAGUCCAUUUCUGUGAGGAAAAUUCGUGUUCUGUUUCACGACCCUGAUGCCACCGACUACUCCAGUGAAGAAGAUGAACAUGUCAAUCGAGGGGCUAAGAAGAUUGUUUGGGAGAUACCGCUUCCCGAUAUCCACCGAAAGCCAUCCAAGGAGAGCUCACAGAAAGAAAGGACUGAUAGAGGCAAAUUCAGAACCAAGACUGAAGCAAAAGAAAGCAGAAGAACACAGAGAUCGUCGUCGAUGUAUAAAGGCGUUCGACGAAGGAAAU